rnacentral:rRNA from 1 species
GCGUGGAGCAUGUGGCUUAAUUUGACUCAACGCGGGAAAUCUUACCGGGUCCGGACACACUGAGGAUUGACAGGCAAUAUAUGUGACUCUUCGGAGUUUGCAUUGUUAAAUAUGCUAGUCCUUUCAUGAUUAUGUGAUAGGUGGUGCAUGGCCGUUCUUAGUUCGUGGAGUGAUCUGUCUGCUUAAUUGCGUUUCAAAUUACUUAUAAGGUAGCAAUACGCGAUGAAACUUUCAAUAGUCCUCACGGAUUCACUUGAGUCUCUCGCUUCGCUAUCCUUUCGAAUGCAACGAACGUGACCGCAACCUCUUGUUGCCUUCGUUUAACAUCCUGCAGUUCUCUGUGGGUACUGAGGGCUUCACUCGGUGACUUUGGGCUGAGCAAUCGGUCUUUUGAUCUGAGUAAACUANAGGGACCGCUGUCAACUUCUUAAACCANAGGAAGGUUGCGGC